rnacentral:rRNA from 1 species
GACGAACGCUGGCGGCGUGCCUAAUACAUGCAAGUCGAACGCUUUUUCUUUCACCGGAGCUUGCUCCAUCGAAAGAAAAAGAGUGGCGAACGGGUGAGUAACACGUGGGUAACCUGCCCAUCAGAAGGGGAUAACACUUGGAAACAGGUGCUAAUACCGUAUAACACUAUUUUCCGCAUGGAAGAAAGUUGAAAGGCGCCUUUGCGUCACUGAUGGAUGGACCCGCGGUGCAUUAGCUAGUUGGUGAGGUAACGGCUCACCAAGGCAACGAUGCAUAGCCGACCUGAGAGGGUGAUCGGCCACACUGGGACUGAGAAACGGCCCCGACUCCUACGGGAGGCAGCAGUAGGGAAUCUUCGGCAAUGGACGAAAGUCUGACCGAGCAACGCCGCGUGAGUGAAGAAGGUUUUCGGAUCGUAAAACUCUGUUGUUAGAGAAGAACAAGGAUGAGAGUAAAAUGUUCAUCCCUUGACGGUAUCUAACCAGAAAGCCACGGCUAACUACGUGCCAGCAGCCGCAGUAA